UGCACGAAUGGCGUAAUGAUGGCCAGGCUGUCUCCACCCGAGACUCAGUGAAAUUGAACUCGCUGUGAAGAUGCAGUGUACCCGCGGCAAGACGGAAAGACCCCGUGAACCUUUACUAUAGCUUGACACUGAACAUUGAGCCUUGAUGUGUAGGAUAGGUGGGAGGCUUUGAAGCGUGGACGCCAGUCUGCGUGGAGCCGACCUUGAAAUACCACCCUUUAAUGUUUGAUGUUCUAACGUGGACCCGUAAUCCGGGUUGCGGACAGUGUCUGGUGGGUAGUUUGACUGGGGCGGUCUCCUCCUAAAGAGUAACGGAGGAGCACGAAGGUUGGCUAAUCCUGGUCGGACAUCAGGAGGUUAGUGCAAUGGCAUAAGCCAGCUUGACUGCGAGCGUGACGGCGCGAGCAGGUGCGAAAGCAGGUCAUAGUGAUCCGGUGGUUCUGAAUGGAAGGGCCAUCGCUCAACGGAUAAAAGGUACUCCGGGGAUAACAGGCUGAUACCGCCCAAGAGUUCAUAUCGACGGCGGUGUUUGGCACCUCGAUGUCGGCUCAUCACAUCCUGGGGCUGAAGUAGGUCCCAAGGGUAUGGCUGUUCGCCAUUUAAAGUGGUACGCGAGCUGGGUUUAGAACGUCGUGAGACAGUUCGGUCCCUAUCUGCCGUGGGCGCUGGAGAACUGAGGGGGGCUGCUCCUAGUACGAGAGGACCGGAGUGGACGCAUCACUGGUGUUCGGGUUGUCAUGCCAAUGGCACUGCCCGGUAGCUAAAUGCGGAAGAGAUAAGUGCUGAAAGCAUCUAAGCACGAAACUUGCCCCGA
rnacentral:rRNA from 1 species